UACGAGGGGUGCAAGCGUUGCUCGGAAUUAUUGGGCGUAAAGGGUAGGUAGGUGGUCUCAUUUGUCGGGGGUGAAAGCCUUGGGCUUAACCUAAGAAGUGCCCCCGAAACGGUGAGACUUGAGUUCUGGAGAGGGUCGUGGAAUUCCCGGUGUAGCGGUGAAAUGCGUAGAGAUCGGGAGGAACACCAGAGGCGAAGGCGGCGACCUGGACAGAUACUGACACUCAACUACGAAAGCGUGGGGAGCAAGCAGG
rnacentral:rRNA from 1 species